rnacentral:rRNA from 1 species
CCCCUAGAUGUUCUGGGCCGCACGCGCGCUACACUGAACAGUUCAACAAGUCUUAACCUUGGCCGAUAGGUCUGGGUAAUCUUUGAACGCUGUUCGUGAUUGGGAUAGACCUUUGCAAUUAUGGGUCUUCAACGAGGAAUUCCUAGUAAACGCAAGUCAUCAGCUUGCAUUGAUUACGUCCCUGCCCUUUGUACACACCGCCCGUCGCACCUACCGAUUGUAUGGUCCGGUGAAAUCUCGGGACGGCGGCUUGGUCGCUUGCGUCCGACUGCUGAAACUUGAUUAAACCAUAUCAUUUAGAGGAAGGUGAAGUCGUAACA